GGACCCCUCUUUAAGAAAAAGUUGUUUAAAAUAUGAUGUAACUCUCCUCUUUUUGAGUACAAAAUUCUAAGUUUUCUUACUAUACAAAUCCUUGGUAUUUCUAUUUUCUUUUCUACAUAAGUAAAAUGACCCCUUGUCUGAGGGAGGGCUGUUCUCAACCUGGUAAUAACAAACACAGGUCAUAGUACGGGUUUUUACACAGGGCUUUG
rnacentral:lncRNA from 1 species